rnacentral:rRNA from 1 species
UACGUAGGUGGCGAGCGUUGUCCGGAUUUACUGGGCGUAAAGAGCACGUAGGCGGGAACCUAAGUCAGGUGUGAAAGACCGUGGCUCAACCACGGGGUGGCAUUUGAAACUGGGUUUCUUGAGGGCAGGAGAGGAAAGCAGAAUUCCUGGUGUAGCGGUGAAAUGCGUAGAAAUCAGGAGGAAUACCAGUGGCGAAGGCGGCUUUCUGGACUGACCCUGACGCUGAGGUGCGAAAGCGUGGGUAGCAAACAGGAUUAGAUACCCUGGUAGUCCCUGA